ACACCCUCCCGCAGUCCCUCAAUCCAGCACCUCUCCCUCCUUCCCUCAGUCACGGGCAUGGCACACCCUUCCCCCUCAGUCCCUCGAUCCAGAUCCAGAACCAAUUCCGCCGCCUCCCUCACCGAUCCCCGCCGUCUCCUUCGCCGAUCGCCGUCGCCGACCCCCGAGCCCCAACCCUCCGCUCCCUCUUCUCCCGUGUCCUCACCUCCUACCCGGACCCUCCCCUCGAGGCCGUCUGGUUCUUCUCUGUGCUCCUCGUGGCUAGGGUUUCAGGGGCGGCGCUCACCACUUCAACACCGCCGGCAACCACAACCACAACCACGGCCUCCACCUCCCCUCCCUAGACCGAGAUCCACUCGAUUCCUCUCCCUCCCCCGAUUCCUCUACAAUCCCGCUAGCUGGAGAUCCACUCGAGCUCCCCCGUGAUUCAUCUGCAAUCCCGCCGCCGUCGAGCCCCGAGCCCCACCCCACCGGCGACCUCCCUCCCUCUUGAGGUGGACAGAUGGGGCUACAGCGCCCGAAACCCUAGCCCAUCACCCACCCAUCACCGUGGAUGGAUGGGGACAGGGCGGCGAUGGCGGAUCCACACCCAGCUUCUCGAAGUGGGUACUUCUCCGAGGUCGACGACGACUACAUCCAGGACGACUUCAACCUCUGCGGCCUCCUAGGUCGACGACUACAUCCAGGUCGACGACGACUACUCCCAGGAUGGACCUGCAUGAAGGAGAGCCUGCUGAUGAUGAGUUGCCACCAUCCCCCCAACGUGGUGCCCAUCAUAGCAGAAGAUGCUGCUGCUGACAGUGAGAGCAAACCGACACCGCCACCUCCAAGCAAGCCAGCAAAACCUAGGAGGCACAUAAUGGCCAGGCCUCCCAAUGGAUUGGGAAAGAAGGGCCAGCCCAUCCAGCUGCUUGCCAACCACUACAAAGACUCUAUCAAGCCUUCAGAGGAUUUUUUUUCAACCAAUACUAUGUAAUAAGCAUAGUUGCUUUCUUUCCUAGCUCGCGGAUUAUAUAUCCUACACAUCCUCCUUCAUUUGUUGUGAUAACUAGUUCUCACCCACUCACUUGCUCAUUGUUGUAAGUUACUGUAGUAGGUAGGUUGCUCUGAUUCUCACAAGUUAAUGCUUAGUUUGUCUGGGUGUGUGUCUACAUAUGCAGGGGAUGUGUUCGCCGAUGACCAGAAUGAGCUAAUUGUGGCGUCUGCUGAUUAUUUGAGGAUCUUUUAUAUAUGUCCCUAGAUGUCCUUAUGAAAUACCUGAUAUGAUAACAUGACCUGAAUUUGGACUAUAACCUGCUCAUCGGCUACACCUGUGCAUUUCUAUUUUGAAUGUCCUGUAUUUGUUGUUGCAUGAUAGAUACAUAUUUGUGACAUCAAUUCGUCAUUGAAUAUUGCUGAAAACUAGCUAUGUCACAUCAAUUUCUUGGUUGUCUAGUUUGUUAUGUCACAUCAAUUGUAUGCUUUUUCUGAGAUUGUGUUUUAGCUACUGCCACUUUGAGCUGUUGUAGAUUUUAGUUAUCAAUUUCAGCUGGGCUUAUAUAUUGCAUUUUCUGAGAUUGUGUUUUAGCUUUCUGCCGUGGACGCGGAGUCAGGCACCGUGACCUCAAGCCACACAAUCUGCUCAUGGGUGGAUGGGCUGGUAUCCUCUGAUGCAUGGAUGGAUGGUUGAUCCCAGCAAGAGGAAGUCUUUUCUUCCCUGGUGGACUGAAGGUCAAGGCUAAUUGUGAUGAGUCUUCACCCUAUGCUGCUAUGCUUGCAUCUUAGGAUGUUGCCACCCGUUGCAAGGUAAUCAUCCUGAAGUGUCUAGGUUUCACUUUCAGUUGUUCCUAUUAUCAGCUGUGUUCUGCUCAUUAGACUGAUGUUUGCCAACUAUCAUGAAAUGCUGGUACAUGACUAGGAUGUAGUCCUGCAUUGCUCUCCUUGGAUGUGUCUCAGAGUUGUUUCUGUUCUUUCAGGAGCUCGGUAUCACCGCACUGCACAUUAAACUCCAUGCCACUGGAGGCAACAAGACCAAGGCACCAGGUCCUGGAGCUCAGUCUGCCCUCAGGGCUCUUGCUCAUUCUGGGAUGAAAAUUGGGCGUAUUGAGGACAUGACUCCAGUUCCCACUGACAGCACCCGCCGGAAGGGAGGAAGGAGGGGAAGGAGGUUGUAGGCUAUCUUUCAACUCUAUUCGUGGCAAUGAAGAAACUUACUGCUCUCUGGGAUCUCCGCAUCCGAGUCCCAGCUGUCCUCCGCAGCAAGGAGCUGGGCAAAGGGAGCAAGCAGUGCCGCUGGUUCCUUCGAGGAUGCAUGCUGCUGGUCGAGUCUUGUGGAGAAGCAAGUCGUAUUGGGCAUCAUCUCACUUGUGCCGUUGUGGUAAGAGCAGAAUGCCACUCUCACUUGAUGUGCAUGUAUUAACACAACAAAGCAUUCUUACAUGGUGAUUGUUAGUGACGCAACAGUUAUCUCGCAUAAUAGUGUCAUUCUCUUCGCAGUUAACAAAUGCAUCUUGUCCAACUGAGUAAACUAGACCCAGCUUGUACAAUAAAGUGAACUAAAUGUUGCCGCAUUCUGUACAUGUUACUUUCUAUUUGGUGUCUGAUAAUGAUAUCUAUGGAAAUUCUACUUUGUAUAGAAUAAAUAAUGUGUUAUGGAGCACAAGCUAAUUUUUGUUGACAUGAAUUUGUUAUGCCCCUUAUUUUGACUUAGUUUCACCCACGUUGCUUUUCAAAUCAUGAGACUGAUGAGUUUUCCUUGUAGGCAACAUUGCUUUAGGAUUAAUGUAAGAUUUUGUGAGUAUGCCUAGGUUCUGCGAAUAUGCAUCGCAAACAUCUAGUGUUCUAAUAUAGUUGGUCUCUAAAACAUCUAGUUAUUUGAAGUUGUUUGAAUCUGUUGCUUUAUCAUACAUUCGGUCCAUAAAUCUGCAUUUCUAUCAAAUUUCGUUAAAUAUGUUAUUUCCUGAUGGUCUGCACACUAAACCUGGAGGUUUGAAUAUCUACUCCAGGAAUGAAAAGGCUACUCUAAUGCAUUUGUGUUCACCCUUUUACAGGAGCUCCAGGCCUAGGAAAUUUCAAGUUCGAAGCCGCGUGCAGCCCUACGCAGCAAAGAUUUGUUCUGUUUGACUGGAAUAGACUGUAAAGAUUAUAGUAUUGUAAUAGUAGGCAUAUCUUGGUUGUAAUAGACUAUGCACAGAAUGUAAUAGACUAUGUACAGGAGCUCCAGGCCUAGGAAAUUCUACAUUUCUUCUAUUCAUAUUUAAAAUAUUGAUUAUUUGUGUGAUUCGAAGACAUUUGAAAUAGAAACCUGAUUAGUGGAGCCAUUUCUGAAAAUAAUCUAAACAAUUCUCACAUUUCUGACAUGUGGGACCAAUAUAGGAGAUUAUUACAAGUGAGACCCAUCUUACUUGUGGGACCAGCUUGAAAAAUAUAUUGACUGAAACACUAAA